UGGAGAGUUUGAUCCUGGCUCAGGACUAACGCUGGCGGCGCGCAUAAGCUUAUGCAAGUCGUGCGAUUAAAGCUCCCCUCGGGGAGUGCAUAAAGCGGCGAACGGGUGAGUAACACGUGGGCAACCUGCCCGUCGGUAUGGGAUAACCCGCCGAAAGGCGAGCUAAUACCGUAUACGGUCCCCAGACGGCAUCAGCCGGGGAAGAAAGCCGGCCUCUGCUUGCAAGCUGGCGCCGACGGAUGGGCCCGCGGGCUAUUAGCUUGUUGGUGGGGUAACGGCCUACCAAGGCGAUGAUGGCUAGCCGGCCUGAGAGGGCGUUCGGCCACACAGGGACUGAGACAAGGCCCUGUCCCCUACGGGAGGCGCAGGCGGGAAUCGUUCACAAUGGGCGAAAGCCUGAUGACGCGACGCCGCGUGAGGGAUGAAGGCUCUCGGGUUGUAAACCUCUGCCGGGAGAGAAGAAAGGCGGGCGGUUAAUACCCGCUCGAGCUGACGUUAUCUCCCAAGAAAGCCUCGGCUAACUACGUGCCAGCAGCCGCGGUAAUACGUAGGGGGCAAGCGUUGUCCGGAAUUACUGGGCGUAAAGGGGGCGUAGGCGGCUUGGUAAGUCCUGUGUGAAAUCCCACGGCUCAACCGUGGAACUGCGCUCGAUACUGCCGACCUCGAGUACGGGAUAGGAGAGUGGAACUCACGGUGUAGCGGUAAAAUGCGUAGAUAUCGUGAGGAACACCGGUGGCGUAGGCGGCUCUCUGGCCCGAUACUGACGCUGAGACACGAAAGCCAGGGUAGCGAACGGGAUUAGAUACCCCGGUAGUCCUGGCCGUAAACGAUGGGCACUAGGUGUGGGAAGCAUCGACCCUUUCCGUGCCGAAGCCAACGCAUUAAGUGCCCCGCCUGGGGAGUACGAUCGCAAGGUUGAAACUCAAAGGAAUUGACG
rnacentral:rRNA from 1 species